rnacentral:rRNA from 1 species
CUCUUGACAUCCAGAGAAUUUAGCAGAGAUGCUUUAGUGCCUUCGGGAACUCUGGGACAGGUGCUGCAUGGCUGUCGUCAGCUCGUGUUGUGAAAUGUUGGUUAACGUCCGCAACGAGCGCAACCCUUAUCCUUUGUUGCCAGCACGUAAUGGUGGGAACUCAAAGGAGACUGCCGGUGAUAAACCGGAGGAAGGUGGGGAUGACGUCAAGUCAUCAUGGCCCUUACGAGUAGGGCUACACACGUGCUACAAUGGCGCAUACAAAGAGAAGCGACCUCGCGAGAGCAAGCGGACCUCAUAAAGUGCGUCGUAGUCCGGAUUGGAGUCUGCAACUCGACUCCAUGAAGUCGGAAUCGCUAGUAAUCGUAAAUCAGAAUGUUACGGUGAAUACGUUCCCGGGCCUUGUACACACCGCCCGUCACACCAUGGGGGUGGGUUGCAAAAGAAGUAGAUAGCUUAACCUUCGGGAGGGCGUUUACCACUUUGUGAUUCAUGACUGGGGUGAAGUCGUAACAAGGUAGGCGUAGUGCU